rnacentral:tRNA from 2 species
UCCAAGGUAGCUCAACGACAAGAGCACCCGGCUCUUACCCGGGCGGUUGGUGAGUUCGAGUCCACCCCUUGGAA